GUUAGAGAUAGAGACAAGGAGGCAAUGCAGAACAAGGACAAACCACUAACACUCUUUCUGGAAAACCAGGAACAUGAAGACUCCUUUGUGUAUCUGUCUGCCAUUCAAGGUAAUUCAUUCAGGAGCCCUCCCUAGAGACAUGCCUCAAAGUGGGCGAGGUUUUAAUGAGAGCCAGUAGGGCCAAGGGUGAGCA